rnacentral:rRNA from 1 species
CCUACGGGAGGCAGCAGUGGGGAAUAUUGCACAAUGGGGGGAACCCUGAUGCAGCGACGCCGCGUGAGUGAAGAAGGAUUUCGGUAUGUAAAGCUCUAUCAGCAGGGAAGAAAAUGACGGUACCUGACUAAGAAGCCCCGGCUAACUACGUGCCAGCAGCCGCGGUAAUACGUAGGGGGCAAGCGUUAUCCGGAUUUACUGGGUGUAAAGGGAGCGUAGACGGCAGAGCAAGUCUGAAGUGAAAGCCCGGGGCCCAACUGCGGGACUGCUUUGGAAACUGCCCGGCUAGAGUGCUGGAGAGGUAAGCGGAAUUCCUAGUGUAGCGGUGAAAUGCGUAGAUAUUAGGAGGAACACCAGUGGCGAAGGCGGCUUACUGGACAGUAACUGACGUUGAGGCUCGAAAGCGUGGGGAGCAAACAGGAUUAGAUACCCCAGUAGUC